rnacentral:rRNA from 1 species
AAGAAACCAACAGGGAUUACCUCAGUAACGGCGAGUGAAGCGGUAACAGCUCAAAUUUGAAAUCUGGCUCUUUUAGGGUCCGAGUUGUAAUUUGUAGAAGAUGCUUUGGGUGUGGCCCCGGUCUAAGUUCCUUGGAACAGGACGUCAUAGAGGGUGAGAAUCCCGURUGUGACUGGGUGCUUUCGCCCGUGUAAAGCUCUUUCGACGAGUCGAGUUGUUUGGGAAUGCAGCUCAAAAUGGGUGGUAUAUUUCAUCUAAAGCUAAAUAUUGGCCAGAGACCGAUAGCGCACAAGUAGAGUGAUCGAAAGAUGAAAAGCACUUUGGAAAGAGAGUUAAACAGUACGUGAAAUUGUUGAAAGGGAAGCGCUUGCAACCAGACUUGCAUGCCGUCGAUCAUCUGGGGUUCUCCUCAGUGCACUCGGCGGUAUUCAGGCCAGCAUCGGUUUGGGUGGCGGGAUAAAGGCCUUGGGAACGUAGCAGCUUUCGGGCUGUGUUAUAGCCCUCGGUGCAAUGCCGCCUACCCGGACCGAGGACCGCGCUUCGGCUAGGAUGCUGGCGUAAUGGUUGUAAGCGACCCGUCUUGAAACACGGACCAAGGAGUCUAACAUCUAUGCGAGUCUUUGGGUGUUAAACCCAUAGGCGUAAUGAAAGUGAACGGAGGUGAGAACCCUUUAGGGUGCAUCAUCGACCGAUCCUGAUGUCUUCGGAUGGAUUUGAGUAAGAGCAUAGCUGUUGGGACCCGAAAGAUGGUGAACUAUGCCUAAAUAGGGUGAAGCCAGAGGAAACUCUGGUGGAGGCUCGCAGCGGUUCUGACGUGCAAAUCGAUCGUCAAAUUUGGGUAUAGGGGCGAAAGACUAAUCGAACCAUUAGAGAGAACGCUACUAGGUGGUUAAGAGACCGCCGAAAGAGCGAUUUAGUGGCCCUUGUGCCGCGACACUGUCAAAGUGACGGGGACCGUCCUGUUUGAAAUACUACUACCGCAGUAGGGGUGAAAGCCUCUACGAGCACCGGGUUAACAGCCUUGGGGAUGGUAAUAACGUGGUAUUAGGGACCGACCCGCAGCCAAACCCUAAGUCUACGGAUACGGGUGCAGCUCACAGACUAAAUGUCAGUGGGUGGCAUGCCUUACAGCGUGCUGCUUAAGUUAUAGUCGAACUCAUCCCUCCUGGGGUGGGUAAACGC